rnacentral:rRNA from 2 species
GCAGUCGAGCGACUGAUUAGAAGCUUGCUUCUAUGACGUUAGCGGCGGACGGGUGAGUAACACGUGGGCAACCUGCCUGUAAGACUGGGAUAACUUCGGGAAACCGAAGCUAAUACCGGAUAGGAUCUUCUCCUUCAUGGGAGAUGAUUGAAAGAUGGUUUCGGCUAUCACUUACAGAUGGGCCCGCGGUGCAUUAGCUAGUUGGUGAGGUAACGGCUCACCAAGGCAACGAUGCAUAGCCGACCUGAGAGGGUGAUCGGCCACACUGGGACUGAGACACGGCCCAGACUCCUACGGGAGGCAGCAGUAGGGAAUCUUCCGCAAUGGACGAAAGUCUGACGGAGCAACGCCGCGUGAGUGAUGAAGGCUUUCGGGUCGUAAAACUCUGUUGUUAGGGAAGAACAAGUACGAGAGUAACUGCUCGUACCUUGACGGUACCUAACCAGAAAGCCACGGCUAACUACGUGCCAGCAGCCGCGGUAAUACGUAGGUGGCAAGCGUUAUCCGGAAUUAUUGGGCGUAAAGCGCGCGCAGGCGGUUUCUUAAGUCUGAUGUGAAAGCCCACGGCUCAACCGUGGAGGGUCAUUGGAAACUGGGGAACUUGAGUGCAGAAGAGAAAAGCGGAAUUCCACGUGUAGCGGUGAAAUGCGUAGAGAUGUGGAGGAACACCAGUGGCGAAGGCGGCUUUUUGGUCUGUAACUGACGCUGAGGCGC